rnacentral:rRNA from 1 species
UGGGGAAUUUUGGACAAUGGGCGAAAGCCUGAUCCAGCAAUGCCGCGUGUGUGAAGAAGGCCUUCGGGUUGUAAAGCACUUUUGUCCGGAAAGAAAUCCUUGGCUCUAAUACAGUCGGGGGAUGACGGUACCGGAAGAAUAAGCACCGGCUAACUACGUGCCAGCAGCCGCGGUAAUACGUAGGGUGCAAGCGUUAAUCGGAAUUACUGGGCGUAAAGCGUGCGCAGGCGGUUUGCUAAGACCGAUGUGAAAUCCCCGGGCUCAACCUGGGAACUGCAUUGGUGACUGGCAGGCUAGAGUAUGGCAGAGGGGGGUAGAAUUCCACGUGUAGCAGUGAAAUGCGUAGAGAUGUGGAGGAAUACCGAUGGCGAAGGCAGCCCCCUGGGCCAAUACUGACGCUCAUGCACGAAAGCGUGGGGAGCAAACAGGAUUAGAUACCCUGGUAGUCCACGCCCUAAACGAUGUCAACUAGUUGUUGGGGGAUUCAUUUCCUUAGUAACGUAGCUAACGCGUGAAGUUGACCGCCUGGGGAGUACGGUCGCAAGAUUAAAACUCAAGGAAUUGACGGGGUCAUAGCUG